UACGAAGGGGGGCUAGCGUUGCUCGGAAUCACUGGGCGUAAAGCGCACGUAGGCGGCUUUCUAAGUCAGGGGUGAAAUCCUGGAGCUCAACUCCAGAACUGCCUUUGAUACUGGGAAGCUCGAGUCCGGAAGAGGUGAGUGGAACUCCGAGUGUAGAGGUGAAAUUCGUAGAUAUUCGGAAGAACACCAGUGGCGAAGGCGGCGAUCUGGGAAGAUACUGACGCUGAAAGGCGAAAGCGUGGGGAGCAAACAGG
rnacentral:rRNA from 1 species